UUAUUAUUAUUAUUAUUAUUAUUAUUAUUAUUAGAGUAUAACUGACAUGCAGUGUUAUAUUAGUUCUGGGUUUAUAACAGUGAUUUCAACAAUUCUUCACAUUCCUCAGUGUUCACCAUGGAACGUGUAGUCUCCAUCUGUUGCCAUGUGAUGACAUCACAGUGUUGUUGACUCUAGUCCCUAUGCUGUAAUUUUCGUCUCUGUGACUUAUUUAUUUUUUAUAACUGGAAGUUUAUACCUGUUAAUCUUCUAUAUUUCAUUUUUGUAGGAGCACUCUAGCUGCUGUGUCAAGAGACAUACUGAGAGCUUGGAAGGAGGGAGUGGCACCAGAAAUGGAGAUAAAGGGAAGGCCACAGAGAGAAUUUUAGGGAAAAAAAAAAAAAAAAACCAUUGCAGGGAACUCACCCUUGGGAUUAUGGCUCCAGUGGGUCGGUGGCAGCACUGCUCAUGAUGAAGAGAACACCAAAGGGGGUGAGGUUGAUGUGGGGAGCAUGGCAGCGAUGGCACAGGAAGCAGAUGACCCUGCCUGGAGGGAGUCAGCAAACCCUCCACCGAGGAGGUGCAGAGAUUCUGGGCCUUGAAGAAGGAACCGAAGAAGGAACCCACUUUUCUUCAUUUACACUUUCCCACUUUCUCAGUCGAAGAAGGGAAAGGGCAUGUUCCCUAGUCUUAGGGAACAGCAUAUGCAAAGAUUCGGAUCAAAGUUAAGAGACAACACAAACGGGUGAAGAAAUCGCUACUUGUUGAGUUUUGAGAACCAUACCAAAGAGGACAGAAGAAGUUGUUGAGACGCUCCUCCCUUCUUGGGUUCCAUAGCUGUGUGAGUGGGUUUUCUUCACCUGCUUCCGUCAAAACAAUGCACUGCAAAAAAUAAUAAUAAUAAUAAUAAAAAUAAAUAAAUAUAUAAAUAAAAUUUAAAAAUUAAAAAAAAAAAAAAAAACACUGCACCGCAAUACACCGAAGGCAGAAACAGACUCCAGUUGUCUUCCGUUCAGCCAGCCAUACGGGUGUUUGCAGAAAUGGAAGACAAUGCCACUUUUCUCACUGAAAUUUUUUGUUUGGAAAAAUAUAUUUUAUAAAAAGUAUGUUUUUUUGUGUUAACAUGUAGCAGGCUUAUCAGGCUUCUGAAAGGAGUUAAUAAAUGCAUUUUUAAUUUCUCGGUUUUCUGGAAGAGUACAUGUUGACAGAUAUAACCCGCAUAAACAAAAGCUCUUCAGCAUCCUCGGUAAUUUCUAAAGGUUUACAAGGUCCUGGGAACUGAAUGCUUAAGCACCGGUGAUGUUGACUAUACCCAAGAGCGGAAUUGCCGGGUUGUAAUUUAUCUUUGCUAAGUAUUUCCAAACUAUUCUUCAAAAUGAUUGCAUCUAACUUCCCAUUUGCACUAUAUGAGAAUGCCCAUUGCCUACAUGCUUACCAGCAUUUUGGAAUUGUUUCAACCUUAAAUCUUUUUAUAUCUCAUAGGUGUCAAACUGUUGUUUUGAUUAUAUUUCUCUGAUUAUUGGUGAAACUAUGCAUUUUCCCUGUAUUGUCUCUACAGAUUUUUCUUUUCUUUGAAAAUCCUGCUUAUGGUUUGUUUUUUUGUUUGUUUGUUUUUGUUUUUUUGCACAUUCCUCUAUUGAAUUGUCUCUUCACAUUAAUUGUGGGGGGAAAAAAAAUCACAUUUUCCAGACACGUAUCCUAGUUGGUUUCUCUCCUUUUUUCACCUUUAAGUUUUUAAUUUUGUGUUGAGAUGUAAACUGCAUGUAAUAAAGUGCACGUAUUGUUAA